UACGAAGGGGGGCUAGCGUUGCUCGGAAUCACUGGGCGUAAAGCGCGCGUAGGCGGCUUUGUAAGUUAGAGGUGAAAGCCCCGGAGCUCAACUCCGGAACUGCCUUUAAAAACUGCAUCGCUUGAAUCCAGGAGAGGUGAGUGGAAUUCCGAGUGUAGCGGUGAAAUGCGUAGAUAUCGGAAGGAACAUCAGUGGCGAAAGCGGCUUCCUGGACCAGCACCGACGUUCAGGCACGAAAGCGUGGGGAGCAAACAGG
rnacentral:rRNA from 1 species